GUCCACGCCGUAAACGAUGGAUACUAGCUGUUCGGGGCAACCUGAGUGGCUAAGCGAAAGUGAUAAGUAUCCCACCUGGGGAGUACGUUCGCAAGAAUGAAACUCAAAGGAAUUGACGGGGGCCCGCACAAGCGGUGGAGCAUGUGGUUUAAUUCGAUGAUACGCGAGGAACCUUACCAAGGCUUAAAUGUAGAUUUACCGGUUUGGAAACAGAUCUUUCGCAAGACAAUUUACAAGGUGCUGCAUGGUUGUCGU
rnacentral:rRNA from 1 species